GGACGCAAGCCUGCAGCAAAUAGUAGUGACUGAGUCGACAAAACCGAUAAUGAUGCACUUGUAAAGUGUUGUAGAGCUCGAAAUUGUGUGUAUCUCAUAUACCCCUCAUUCACACUAUAUGGAUAGCCAGAUGGGAAAAAUUUAUUCAGAAAGGAUUCCAUCACUCUCUGUGCAGCUGGUCUUGAGUCAUCAACCAUCUUGACCGAUAGCUUACCAUCAGGCUGAAAUUGGUAUUGACGAGAAAUUGAAUUGGAUAUUUCAACCCAAGAAAUUGGUAGCUCAGGCGGCCGUUCAUCUGAUUCUUUUCUUUGCAUCUUUAUUUUGUCCAGUAUUUGCAUUGACACAAUUCCGCCUGGAAAAUUGGGAGAUAAGGAGAGAGCUGAAAUACAAU
rnacentral:misc_RNA from 1 species